UACGUAGGAUCAAAGCGUUGUGCGGAUUUACUGGGUGUAAAGGGUGCGCAGGCGGACAUGUGCGUCGAGGGUUAAAGACCUAGGCUCAACCGAAGGAAUGCCUUUGAAACGGCAGGUCUUGAGUGCGAGAGAGGAUAGUGGAAUUCCUGGUGUAGCGGUGAAAUGCGUAGAUAUCAGGAGGAACACCAGUGGCGAAGGCGGCUAUCUGGCUCGCAACUGACGCUCAGGCACGAAAGCGUGGGGAGCAAACAGG
rnacentral:rRNA from 1 species